GGCCGCCUGGCGAAAUGGCAUCGCGUCUGACUACGAUUGGGACGUUAGACGAUGAACGUAAUCAGGAGAUUGCAGGUUCGACCCCUGCGGUGGUCA